GCGGGCGUAACUCAGCGGUAGAGUGUCUGCUUCCCAGGCAGAAAGUCGGGGGUUCAAAUCCCCUCGCCCGCUCCA
rnacentral:tRNA from 1 species